AACUUCAAAGCUGGAAGAGGAAUGGGGAAGUCCCCCAGGGCAGGGAACAUGAAGGGCUACUUCUAGCAGGAGGAGGAGGAGUUGCUAGGUAGACUGAAGACAAACAGCUCUGGACACAUUGUGUGUAGGGCAGGGCUACACUGGGGGCUGGGCUCUCCAUGCUGCACCCCAGCUCUGUCUGUUGCCUAGCAACUCGAGUUGGCGCCACCACAAAGUGUAAACAUGGACCAAAGGAGAAGCCCUUUGGAGAAGAAGACGCCAAAGGGAAAGGGAAAAGUUCAGAAGGGCAGAAAGCAUUCAACUCUGCAACACUGUCAUCAUAUUCCACUUAUCAAAAAGUGAAUCCUGAGGACUGAAAUAAUUUGCAGAUGUGGUGGAGGAGCCGUUGCCAGCAACUCUGAGACCUGGGAAGAGGCUGGAGACUCCAGGCAGCCAAGGGAGAGGCUUCCUAAAGUCGAUGCGAGAGCCUGGCAGGCUGACUGGUGGAAUAAGCUCAGGCCCAGUGGAGGUGACAGGAAGUCUCAAUGGACAGCCCUUUCCGGAUGGGAGGCCCACCCAGGAGACAGGGCCAAGUCCCCAGAGCUCCUGUCAGAAUGGGAGGCACUGCUGCAGCUGGGAGAGGGAAGGUGAGCCCAAGGGGAACCUGGGAACCCGUCUUCUUUCUCUGAGCUCCCUCUUUGAAGCACCUUCCCCUGGGGCUGAGGGGACAGAAAGCCUGUCAGUGACACAGGCAGCCACGCAGUGCUGGCUCUGCGUAGGUCUGAGUGUCUUCCAUGGUCAGGAGCCGCCCCCUCCCUACAUCUCCUCCGAGAGGGGACCCUGUAACCCUCUGUGACCACAGUUGGCAAUGGUUGAGGCUCUGGUUUCAGAGCCACUUAUAUCAGUGCUGCCUUUGGCCCCAGCUCAGCCUUGUUGUGAUUGCCUGCUCCACAGGACAACUCACGGAGUAGAAACCACUGCUCUUGGGGACUCCAGGACUGACAACAACGGCCUCCCCCCUGCACCCUUCUGGUUCCCAAGCCUUCAGAUUCUCCCUGAGUUACACCAUGGGCCUUCUUGUUUCUCUAGUUUAUAGAUGGCAGAUUUGGGGACCUAGUAGCUCUGUGUCUCUGGAGAACCCCAAUACCUUCAAAUCUCAGGCUGUAAGAAAACAGUUUCUGAAAUGGAAGUGUUCCAGUUUUCUAUUCUUUGCUUAAGCACUUGUGUUUUGUUUUGUGUUGUGUUUUGCAGCGCUGGGGAUGGAGCUCAGGCCUGCACUCACGCUAGGCCAACGCUUGGGGCGGGGCUUAGCCCAGGGGUAGCGGGUGGACAUGGGGAAAGUGUCGCCUGGCCCCUGGCCGGCGGAAGGCAGGCUGCGUGUGUGCUGGGCCUGCUCGGUUUCCCUGCUUCAGGCACCAGCCGCUGAGUCCUCCCCGGGGACUUUCCUGGCUGCCAGCGCUUGUGUUCCGACUGGGGUGACCUCCUCCCCCUCCACCAGACCUGUGUGUCCACUGAUUGUCACAGAGAUUGGCCUGAGGCUGACCAAGCGGCCACACCUGGCUCAGAGAGCCUUGUACACGGGAGCAGCAGCAGGAGGUGAGAGUCCUCACUGCCCCUAGGGGAUGCAGCUUUAAGUCCUCCUCGAACCCCUUGGGAGCAGAGCGAUUGAGGACCAAGACAGGGCAGGCUGGAGUCACCUCUUCCUGAAGCGGUCUCCUCAGGCUGCACGCUCAGUCACAGGAGCCCAUUCAUGCUGAGGCUUCGGCCAAUUCAACUGAGUUUCCGCUCCUGGGAACUGAGUUCUGACUAAGCCCGCACAGAGUGAGGGGGACCAAGACUGCCCUCGGAAGUGAAAGAAGUCACAGAGAGCCAGGUUACAGAGGGCCUUGUAAGCCUCAGUGAGCAUUUCGGUCUUGAACCCUGUGAACUCAGAAGUUACUGCACGGCUGACUCAGGAGACCACAGGAAAUGGCUUCUCUGGGGGCACAGAGCAUCAUAUCAGAAGUUGUGGGCAUUAGCAUAUCAGAGCCAACAGAUAUUCCUGGUUUCCAGGUGUGGAGUGGAAAUUCUGCCUUUAGGACACCAGCUGGCUGGUGUGGUGGUGCACACCUAUAAUCCCAGCACUAGGGAAGAUGAGCCAGGAGGAUCACAUGUUCAAGCCUGGCCUGGGUAAUUUAGCAAGACUAUCUCAAAAAAUGAAAAAAGGGCUGGAUGUAGCUCAGCGCAAAGACUCUGGGUUCAAUCUGCAAUACCACACAUACACAGAAGCCAAAAACCAAAAAAUGCUUUAUUUACAAAAGUCAGUCUAGCUGGGUUUGGUCUGUGGACCUGUUUGCUGAUCUCUAACAUAGAAAGAAUAUAUUAGGAACAUAUAAGGACUUGUAUCAGGAUGUCUAUUGCAUUAUUGUAGUUUGAAGAGGAAAAAAAGCCAAAGACCUGAUACAACCUACACAUCCACCAUUAGUUUAUGAGUUCAGUGUGAUGGUUGAGAAAUCCUGGCAAGUUUAUUCUACAGAUUUAAAGCAAAUGUUCAAGGGAACCAGUGAAUUAUGGGCCUCCUGACUUGGACGAGCAUCUAUAAGGUAUUAGGUGUACACAGCAGUCUGCAGAACAACACAACCGACCUGCACACCUGUCCACGCUGUGGCUCCGUAGGGCCCUGCUGUCACAGAAGGCCCUCCUCCGUCCCUCUGAUGCUGAGCCGGGCCAUGAGGCUCGCUGUGACUGUGGAGUGUUAGCAGGUGUGAGCAGAGCCCAUCCCUGUGCCUGCAUAGUCGCUGCUUGCGUUUUGGCAUUUGGGUGCUGAAGACAGAACACAGAGCCUUGAGCAGGCUAAGCCCAUCCCUCUACCACCAGAGCUCUGCCUCCAGUCCUGCCGUACAUGGUUCCCCGUGGUUUCUGUGCUCCCAGGGGCACCUCUCGAAGAACAUACCCUGAGUGGCCACUAGAGCAAGGUUGACAAGGAGCAGGCGAGGCAAGCCCAGCCCAGGCACCGCAGCCUGAAGCAGAACUGCCCAGCCUGCACCUGCAGAGCCAGGAGCUUAAGAGAAAAGGCUUUGGCCGGGCAUGGUGACGCAUGCCUGGAAUCCCAGCACUCGGAAGGCUGUGGCAGGAGGACCAACUUGAAUUCAAGGCCAGCCUGAUCUACACAGCAAGACCCUG